rnacentral:sRNA from 1 species
GACAGGAAGAAUGCAGGAUGUGACAAUGAGCUGUGUGUGGGGCUGGGCACACACACAAUGGGCAAACAUUGAGUAGAGACGGGGAGACUGAAAUGUCAGUAACAGGCGACAGCACUCUUCAGCACUCUUCGGUUUCUUCUAAACUGCACUGAGGUUCAUGGUUCUGAACACUUGGAGUCUGAGAGAUGGGCCUUGAGGAUGACGUCCCAGCCUCCUGACCCACAGGGGUGAUGCCAUACACUCCCGCCACCACCAAGAGAGCCCAGCUGCCAUGAACUGCACUGUGCUUUCCCAGCCAUGAUGGAAUAUUCCUAACUGCAGCCUAAAAAGGACCAGCCUACACCCAAAAGGUGAAAAGAAGCAAUGUGCCUAAGGACAAGAUAUGAAGGUGCCCCUUCAGUGAGGUGUCAGUCAGCUAAGCUGGCCUUGGCGCUUUUGCAGCUAGACCACGUUGUGGCUUCUUGUCUACUCCUGAUGUCUUCUUCCUGCCGUGAUUGCUCCUGGGCUGGUUGGUCGACCACUUGACUCCUUCCACAACCCCAUUAGACUGGAGUGACUUGGGGUGUCAAACUCUACCAGGAGUGACUGGGGCACCUUCUCGGGCCCCUUGGGAGCUGGGGACCUGCCAUGUGGUCAGCUGAGAUGCAUCUGGCUGCCACGUUGCUUUCAUAGCUUGCCUGCCAGCCCCCCAGCUCUCUGGGUCACUCCUCUUCUGAUGUUGCCACCAUACUCGGCUCAGUUACCACGCUACUGGAGGUUACCAGCUCAGCCCACACUACUGGAGCACAGUCCUCCUGGUCUCUGGCUCAAGGAACCUUACCCAGCUUCAGAGCUCCAGGCAACGCCAUGAGGCCUCCUGUUCUCAACAAUGGAAUCUGCCCCAUACAGGAGAACUGGUGAAGACGUUAGGGCCUGACCCGAUGGCCAAGGACACUGUCUGACCUGGUCUGAAUGCAGCACCCUUCCCAAAUUCACACAUCAACAUUACAUCAUUAAUGUGCUGGGAUGAACAGGUGGAGCUUGAGGAAGCUGAAGAUGAGACUCAGGGACAACUCUCAGCAAAUGAGGUCGUGACCUCUUGUCUUCUUGCCAGAUGAGGAUCCAGCGCUCACCUCUUCUUGGAGAAGCAGCAGUUAAGGAGCCUGAAGAGAAUGGUAGCAUUUCAGGCUGUCCCUGGAGCCAGCCACCCCCACUGCCGCCAGCAGACCCUCUGCAUUUGGAAGUCCUUUCCCUCAAUGUGUUCUCCCUCUGUGUAUCAGUGCGGUGCCCUUACAGAGAUCCUUGCGGCUGUGUGAAGCAUCAUCACCAUGGCUGCCUCUGCCUGCAUCUUUCCUCAUAGAAUUUAUCACCGCCCGGCAUGCAACAACAGCUAAUCUUGGUUCACCUCCUUCUCCCAGCAGACUGCAGUGUGCCCGAGGGGCCAGGCUUUGAAUGAGCAGUCCUUCAAGUGUGCCUGACCGACAGCAAGCAUCGGGAAGCUAUUGAACGGAUGAACACAGAAGGCAGGUAGGAGGGGGCAGCGUGAUGGAGGAGGAAGAUUGGAGUUCAACCAUGAGUCCCCCCAUAGUCAAGCACCAGGGCAUUCACGGAAGGGUGGCCUGUAUCUUACACAGUUGACCACAAGCUGCUCUCUGACGAACUCAGCAGCAAGCUCACUAUGUCCCUUCCAGAAUAAUCUCUGAGGUUAAGAGAAAGGUGUGUCAACAGGAAGUCAUGCUGAACUUAAAAACCAUCUGCUUUGGUCUUUUCUGCUCACAGCCCAGAUACCGGACACACAGCCAAGACUGAAACAGCAGUGACUGGCCAAAGCCAUUGGUUGUCUUAAUGACUGCUUUCGGUCAUUAAGAUGCCUGGAUUGGAUUUAUCGCCAACGAGCGGAUCGAUUACUUGGUGCUCAUCUGCAAUCUAAGCCUUUCUGUGUCUCCACUUCGGUUAUUUCAUUAAGAUGGAUGGGCUGGUGAUGCCACACCCCCUGGGAAGCUGGGCUGGAGAGCUCUGCCUGAAUGGAGCAUUAGAGAGAGAAAAAUAAACCGGGCCUAGGGAAGGAAGAAGGGCCGCGCGGUACGAGGCUCUUAGUUCACAUCCGGUGGUGCUGGGUGAGCCACUCAGCCUGCAGCUGCUGGUGAUAGCUCAUGCUGAGGGUCGCAUGGUCUUUCAGGGGGGUUGUCUACGUUUGCUGAGUGUGGAUGCAGCUUUGUGGAGGUUUUUAGGACUCUAUUUUCCAGUCUUGGAGUGUCUUCCUGUGCCAAAAUCUGUCUUUGUUCUAGCAUGGAUCUCUGUCAUGUUCUGGAAGGGUCAUCCUGCCACGACAGACUUUUCUGGGGAAACUAAACGUCCUCAUGUCCGUUGUUUGUGCUUCUUGAAGCAGCUACAAUAAAAUAAAAGCACAGAAUUAGCCUGAGCCUUGUGGUGGUCUUAUGAGAAUUGUCCCCAUAGGAUCCUAUGUUUAAAUGCUUGGUCCCUAGUUAGUGGAACAAUUUGGAAAGGAUUAGGAGGU